rnacentral:lncRNA from 1 species
UUUUUUUUUUUUUUUUGGUAGUGUUACAGUUUUAUACCUUUGUUAUAUUUUUGAGACCGAAAGAAAAAAAUUCUUGUGUGCUGUUAUUGGUUUCAAUCCAAGUGCACAACAGAUCAAAAACACGAGGGAGUGGAUAGAUAUGACAAGAAAGUAGAAUACGAGUGCAAUAUCUGCAAAACUGUUUGCAUUGUACACUCCAGAUUGCUUUGGCGUGUGUAUCAGGUCACGUUUAUGUAUCCAUGCUGUUUGUGUACACAGAUCACCGUUUUUAAUUAUCAUAGACUGGAAGCGGACGGCACUUAAAGAGUAUAACGUGGCAUGCCGUGCUACUUAAAUAACCGUUGCGUGGCUUAUAUCUGGGACUCAGACGGAAGGCAUCACCUUUCAUCAAAACACGUCCUUGUUUUCUUUUAUUUCCAAACAAAACCUUUUCAGUGCUGUGGAUUUUACAGUUAAUACGUUGUUGAAAGACGAAUGAGACGUUAUCUUCACCGUGAUAACACAGCACUCUACAGCUUGCUAGUGAAGACUGACACAAAGUUGCUUCUUUAACACAGAGAGCUUUGUUAUCAUUUUUCUUGCAAGGGACGUCUCUGUUUUCCCCUCAACCUUCUGUUUUAUUGCUGAAGGAUGUUUCAUGCCUUUUACCACAUACAGUGGCACAGCAAGACUAGCAGAAAGAGAAGUCUUGAUUGUCAACGCUCAAGGAGACGAGCAGGAGGAAGUGCAUGGACACAAUGCCACCCUCAUGUGCAUGGAGAGCUCCUCUUUACAAGUGGUUUCCUGGCUGUUCUGAGCAAUUGCUUUCUGGCCUUUUGUGCCUCUCAGAUGAUAAGACAAAGCUGAAAAAGCGACCUGGAGCUCAUGCAGUAGCACUAUUCUCCAGAUGGCUUUCCACAGCAUCGUCUUCCGUAACACACCAGCGAGCCACGAGACUGAGACAGAAAUUCCAAUGUGGGGAGGGUGUGAGUCAUGAGAUGAUACUAACCAUUAGGAAGACACUGCUGCAGAGACUGAAACCAAACCCAUUUAUUCCUUGUUCUCAAGUCGUCUUGGGUUGGAAGCUGCCAAAAAAUUCUCUCCUGGAUAAAUAACUGUGAUGUCCCCAUCAAGCAUAUGUUGUCAGUGAGUUGGAUUUCUUCAUUCAAAUUGUUGAAAAUCUGUUCUGCUUGGAAGUUUCUCUCGCAGAGGAAUUAUUCAGCACCACAAAAGGAGUGUGCAGGGAUCCCAUCAAAGUUUAAAUGCUUUGAACUCACUCCUAGGCACAAGAAGACUUUACUACUUGAGAUUUUGUUUGGACAUAAAUGAGUUUUUGUCAUAGAUUGGGCAUCUUCUAACAUGGUCCCUCCAUAACAAAAUUUCUCAUCAUUCUGGAAGAAGAUUUGAGUAUUUGUUCUUUUGUUUGCAUUCAUCUUUAUUUAUUUUGUAUUCUUGAGAUGUGUUGCAUCUCUGGAGUUUGUAUUUCUACUUUUAGCGUAAAAAUGUUGUACAUAACAAGUCUAGAAUGCAUCUGAAGAGUAGUCUAAUUUUUCAAGUGACUUUGACUUGAACAUUUUUAUGUUUAUGUUUAUAUUGCUAUUUCAAAAAUGUGCAUUACCUGUAUUAUUUAUGCCUUUUCCCCAUCUAUAACUCAAUAAAAUUAUGUCCUCAUUCUGCA